CCUACGGGAGGCUGCAGUGGGGAAUAUUGGACAAUGGGCGAAAGCCUGAUCCAGCCAUGCCGCGUGUGUGAAGAAGGCCUUCGGGUUGUAAAGCACUUUCAGUGGGGAAGAAAGCCUUGGGGCUAAUACCCUCGAGGAAGGACAUCACCCACAGAAGAAGCACCGGCUAACUCCGUGCCAGCAGCCGCGGUAAUACGGAGGGUGCGAGCGUUAAUCGGAAUUACUGGGCGUAAAGCGCGCGUAGGCGGUCUGAUAAGCCGGUUGUGAAAGCCCCGGGCUCAACCUGGGAACGGCAUCCGGAACUGGCAGGCUAGAGUGCAGGAGAGGAAGGUAGAAUUCCCGGUGUAGCGGUGAAAUGCGUAGAGAUCGGGAGGAAUACCAGUGGCGAAGGCGGUCUUCUGGACUGACACUGACGCUGAGGUGCGAAAGCGUGGGUAGCAAACAGGAUUAGAUACCCGGGUAGUC
rnacentral:rRNA from 1 species